GAUGAACGCUAGCGGCGGGCCUAAUACAUGCAAGUCGAGGGGCAGCGGAGGUAGCAAUACUUGCCGGCGACCGGCGCACGGGUGCGUAACGCGUAUGCAACCUACCUUUGACACGGGGAUAGCCCGAAGAAAUUCGGAUUAAUACCCGAUGGCAUCAUGUGGUGACAUCGCCAUAUGAUUAAAGAUUUAACGGUCAGAGAUGGGCAUUCUUCUGAUUAGCUAGUUGGUGAGGUAACUGCUCACCAAGGCUACGAUCAGUAGGGGUUCUGAGAGGAUGAGCCCCCACACCGGUACUGUGACACGGACCGGACUCCUACGGGAGGCAGCAGUAAGGAAUAUUGGUUAAUGGGCGCAAGCCUGAACCAGCCACGCCGCGUGCAGGAAGACGGCCCUACGGGUUGUAAACUGCUUUUGUUUGGGAAGAAACCCUCCUUUGCGAAGGAGACUGACGGUACCAGACGAAUAAGCACCGGCUAACUCCGUGCCAGCAGCCGCGGUAAAAC
rnacentral:rRNA from 1 species